rnacentral:rRNA from 1 species
AGCGAACGCUGGCGGCAUGCCUAACACAUGCAAGUCGAACGAGACCUUCGGGUCUAGUGGCGCACGGGUGCGUAACGCGUGGGAACCUGCCCUUAGGUUCGGAAUAACUCCCCGAAAGGGGUGCUAAUACCGGAUAAUGUCUUCGGACCAAAGAUUUAUCGCCUUUGGAUGGGCCCGCGUUGGAUUAGCUAGUUGGUAGGGUAAAAGCCUACCAAGGCGACGAUCCAUAGCUGGUCUGAGAGGAUGAUCAGCCACACUGGGACUGAGACACGGCCCAGACUCCUACGGGAGGCAGCAGUGGGGAAUAUUGGACAAGGAGCGAAGGCCUGAUCCAGCAAUGCCGCGUGAGUGAUGAAGGCCUUAGGGUUGUAAAGCUCUUUUACCCGGGAUGAUAAUGACAGUACCGGGAGAAUAAGCUCCGGCUAACUCCGUG